rnacentral:lncRNA from 1 species
UGGCUUAAAGCAUAAUUAUAAAUAGUGGCCUAUGCUAUUUAAUGAUAUUUUUAUCAACAUAUUAUAUACAAUAUUUUAGUUUUAAGAAAAACAUAUUUUUGUUUAGUCCUGCAUAAAAAGUUUAGAUGAAUAGUAGACUAUUAAUUGAUACUGUACCUAUAAUGUUUAGUGUUUUUAACAAAUAAUAAAUAACAUUUUAGUAGUUUCUUGAACCACUUUUUUUUGUUAAAAGGUUUUAGAGAAAAAUAUUUUUGAACCAUUAUAUUCUAACAUUAGUUCUUUCUCACUUACACCUUCAAUCACAUUACAUUCUUCUUUACUUUCUAUAAUUUCAUAUGCAAUGAUUGAUGGAGAUUAGAAAACCCCCAAUGAUAACAAAUGGUUAUAAAUAGCAAAGAUAAUAGAAACAAAAGAAAUAACAAAUCAAUUGUCCAAAACAAAAGAUAAAUACAAUGUGAACAUAAUAUAAAAACAGAGACAUUUAAUAGUUUAAGAAAAAUCACAA